AUUGAACGCUGGCGGCAGGCCUAACACAUGCAAGUCGAGCGAGUGGCGGACGGGUGAGUAAUGUCUGGGGAUCUGCCUGAUAGAGGGGGAUAACUACUGGAAACGGUGGCUAAUACCGCAUACCAUCGGAUGUACCCAUAUGGGAUUAGCUAGUAGGUGGGGUAAAGGCUCACCUAGGCGACGAUCACUAGCUGGUCUGAGAGGAUGAUCAGCAACACUGGAACUGAGACACGGUCCAGCCUCCUACGGGAGGCAGCAGUGGGGAAUAUUGCACAAGUGGCGCAAGCCUGAUGCAGCCAUGCCGCGUGUAUGAAGAAGGCCUUAGGGUUGUAAAGUACUUUCAGCGGGGAGGCGUUACCCGCAGAAGAAGCACCGGCUAACUCCGUGCCAGCAGCCGCGGUAAUAC
rnacentral:rRNA from 1 species